UUGAUCCAACCAAAUAUAAAUCAAUCAAUCCAAAACUUCGCGACUAAAAACCGUGGUUCAUCCAUGUAAUUGAAGGUGCAGGUGUUAAUUUCGAGUGCCUUGAAUUUAUCACCGCAGUGGAAAUAAUCGGAAUAAGAGUUCUUUUCCGUGAAAAGCUGUUCGCUUGGAGGAAAACGAAGAUGCCAGUGUUAAUUUCGAGUGCCUUGAAUUUAUCACCGCAGAGGAAAUAAAAUAGGCGAUUCCGCCAAUCAGAAGAGUUCUUUUCCGCGAAAAGCUGUUCGCUUGGAAAACGAAGUUUGCCCAAGAAAAAUCUCCACAGUCAUCGCCUCUAAAGCCACCGGCACAAAAGUCACACCACCUCUUCAUAUGUAUGUUUUAAAUAUUGAUAAGAAAAUUAUA